rnacentral:rRNA from 1 species
GUCGAGCGAACAGACGAGGAGCUUGCUUCUCUGACGUUAGCGGCGGACGGGUGAGUAACACGUGGAUAACCUACCUAUAAGACUGGGAUAACUUCGGGAAACCGGAGCUAAUACCGGAUAAUAUAUUGAACCGCAUGGUUCAAUAGUGAAAGACGGUUUUGCUGUCACUUAUAGAUGGAUCCGCGCCGCAUUAGCUAGUUGGUAAGGUAACGGCUUACCAAGGCAACGAUGCGUAGCCGACCUGAGAGGGUGAUCGGCCACACUGGAACUGAGACACGGUCCAGACUCCUACGGGAGGCAGCAGUAGGGAAUCUUCCGCAAUGGGCGAAAGCCUGACGGAGCAACGCCGCGUGAGUGAUGAAGGUCUUCGGAUCGUAAAACUCUGUUAUUAGGGAAGAACAAAUGUGUAAGUAACUAUGCACGUCUUGACGGUACCUAAUCAGAAAGCCACGGCUAACUACGUGCCAGCAGCCGCGGUAAUACGUAGGUGGCAAGCGUUAUCCGGAAUUAUUGGGCGUAAAGCGCGCGUAGGCGGUUUUUUAAGUCUGAUGUGAAAGCCCACGGCUCAACCGUGGAGGGUCAUUGGAAACUGGAAAACUUGAGUGCAGAAGAGGAAAGUGGAAUUCCAUGUGUAGCGGUGAAAUGCGCAGAGAUAUGGAGGAACACCAGUGGCGAAGGCGACUUUCUGGUCUGUAACUGACGCUGAUGUGCGAAAGC